rnacentral:rRNA from 1 species
UUGUAUAAUGGGUCAGCGACUUAUAUUCUGUAGCAAGGUUAACCGUAUAGGGGAGCCGCAGGGAAACCGAGUCUUAACUGGGCGUUAAGUUGCAGGGUAUAGACCCGAAACCCGGUGAUCUAGCCAUGGGCAGGUUGAAGGUUGGGUAACACUAACUGGAGGACCGAACCGACUAAUGUUGAAAAAUUAGCGGAUGACUUGUGGCUGGGGGUGAAAGGCCAAUCAAACCGGGAGAUAGCUGGUUCUCCCCGAAAGCUAUUUAGGUAGCGCCUCGUGAAUUCAUCUUCGGGGGUAGAGCACUGUUUCGGCUAGGGGGUCAUCCCGACUUACCAACCCGAUGCAAACUACGAAUACCGAAGAAUGUUAUCACGGGAGACACACGGCGGGUGCUAACGUCCGUCGUGAAGAGGGAAACAACCCAGACCGCCAGCUAAGGUCCCAAAGUCAUGGUUAAGUGGGAAACGAUGUGGGAAGGCACAGACAGCCAGGAUGUUGGCUUAGAAGCAGCCAUCAUUUAAAGAAAGCGUAAUAGCUCACUGGUCGAGUCGGCCUGCGCGGAAGAUGUAACGGGGCUAAACCAUGCACCGAAGCUGCGGCAGCGACACUAUGUGUUGUUGGGUAGGGGAGCGUUCUGUAAGCCUGCGAAGGUGUGCUGUGAGGCAUGCUGGAGGUAUCAGAAGUGCGAAUGCUGACAUAAGUAACGAUAAAGCGGGUGAAAAGCCCGCUCGCCGGAAGACCAAGGGUUCCUGUCCAACGUUAAUCGGGGCAGGGUGAGUCGACCCCUAAGGCGAGGCCGAAAGGCGUAGUCGAUGGGAAACAGGUUAAUAUUCCUGUACUUGGUGUUACUGCGAAGGGGGGACGGAGAAGGCUAUGUUAGCCGGGCGACGGUUGUCCCGGUUUAAGCAUGUAGGCUGGUUGUCCAGGCAAAUCCGGAUAAUCAAGGCUGAGGUGUGAUGACGAGGCACUACGGUGCUGAAGUAACAAAUGCCCUGCUUCCAGGAAAAGCCUCUAAGCAUCAGGUAACAUCAAAUCGUACCCCAAACCGACACAGGUGGUCAGGUAGAGAAUACCAAGGCGCUUGAGAGAACUCGGGUGAAGGAACUAGGCAAAAUGGUGCCGUAACUUCGGGAGAAGGCACGCUGGUGUGUAGGUGAAGCCCCUGCGGGUGGAGCUGAGACCAGUCGAAGAUACCAGCUGGCUGCAACUGUUUAUUAAAAACACAGCACUGUGCAAACACGAAAGUGGACGUAUACGGUGUGACGCCUGCCCGGUGCCGGAAGGUUAAUUGAUGGGGUUAUCCGUAAGGAGAAGCUCUUGAUCGAAGCCCCGGUAAACGGCGGCCGUAACUAUAACGGUCCUAAGGUAGCGAAAUUCCUUGUCGGGUAAGUUCCGACCUGCACGAAUGGCGUAAUGAUGGCCAGGCUGUCUCCACCCGAGACUCAGUGAAAUUGAACUCGCUGUGAAGAUGCAGUGUACCCGCGGCAAGACGGAAAGACCCCGUGAACCUUUACUAUAGCUUGACACUGAACAUUGAGCCUUGAUGUGUAGGAUAGGUGGGAGGCUUUGAAGCGUGGACGCCAGUCUGCGUGGAGCCAACCUUGAAAUACCACCCUUUAAUGUUUGAUGUUCUAACGUUGGCCCCUUAUCGGGGUUGCGGACAGUGUCUGGUGGGUAGUUUGACUGGGGCGGUCUCCUCCCAAAGCGUAACGGAGGAGCACGAAGGUUAGCUAAUCCUGGUCGGACAUCAGGAGGUUAGUGCAAUGGCAUAAGCUAGCUUGACUGCGAGCGUGACGGCGCGAGCAGGUGCGAAAGCAGGUCAUAGUGAUCCGGUGGUUCUGAAUGGAAGGGCCAUCGCUCAACGGAUAAAAGGUACUCCGGGGAUAACAGGCUGAUACCGCCCAAGAGUUCAUAUCGACGGCGGUGUUUGGCACCUCGAUGUCGGCUCAUCACAUCCUGGGGCUGAAGUAGGUCCCAAGGGUAUGGCUGUUCGCCAUUUAAAGUGGUACGCGAGCUGGGUUUAGAACGUCGUGAGACAGUUCGGUCCCUAUCUGCCGUGGGCGCUGGAGAAUUGAGGGGGGCUGCUCCUAGUACGAGAGGACCGGAGUGGACGCAUCACUGGUGUUCGGGUUGUCAUGCCAAUGGCACUGCCCGGUAGCUAAAUGCGGAAGAGAUAAGUGCUGAAAGCAUCUAAGCACGAAACUUGCCCCGAGAUGAGUUCUCCCUGAGACUUUAAGUCUCCUGAAGGAACGUUAAAGACGAUGACGUUGAUAGGCCGGGUGUGUAAGCGCAGCGAUGCGUUGAGCUAACCGGUACUAAUGAACCGUGAGGCUUAACCUU